rnacentral:rRNA from 1 species
UACGAAGGGGGCUAGCGUUGCUCGGAAUGACUGGGCGUAAAGGGCGCGUAGGCGGAUUGUACAGUCAGGCGUGAAAUUCCCGGGCUCAACCUGGGGGCUGCGCUUGAGACGUGCGAUCUUGAGUGGGGAAGAGGGUCGUGGAAUUCCCAGUGUAGAGGUGAAAUUCGUAGGAUAUUGGGAAGAACACCGGUGGCGAAGGCGGCGACCUGGUCCUUGACUGACGCUGAGGCGCGAAAGCGUGGGGAGCAAACAGG